GACGAACGCUGGCGGCGUGCCUAAUACAUGCAAGUCGAACGAACUCUGGUAUUGAUUGGUGCUUGCAUCAUGAUUUACAUUUGAGUGAGUGGCGAACUGGUGAGUAACACGUGGGAAACCUGCCCAGAAGCGGGGGAUAACACCUGGAAACAGAUGCUAAUACCGCAUAACAACUUGGACCGCAUGGUCCGAGUUUGAAAGAUGGCUUCGGCUAUCACUUUUGGAUGGUCCCGCGGCGUAUUAGCUAGAUGGUGGGGUAACGGCUCACCAUGGCAAUGAUACGUAGCCGACCUGAGAGGGUAAUCGGCCACAUUGGGACUGAGACACGGCCCAAACUCCUACGGGAGGCAGCAGUAGGGAAUCUUCCACAAUGGACGAAAGUCUGAUGGAGCAACGCCGCGUGAGUGAAGAAGGGUUUCGGCUCGUAAAACUCUGUUGUUAAAGAAGAACAUAUCUGAGAGUAACUGUUCAGGUAUUGACGGUAUUUAACCAGAAAGCCACGGCUAACUACGUGCCAGCAGCCGCGGUAAUACGUAGGUGGCAAGCGUUGUCCGGAUUUAUUGGGCGUAAAGCGAGCGCAGGCGGUUUUUUAAGUCUGAUGUGAAAGCCUUCGGCUCAACCGAAGAAGUGCAUCGGAAACUGGGAAACUUGAGUGCAGAAGAGGACAGUGGAACUCCAUGUGUAGCGGUGAAAUGCGUAGAUAUAUGGAAGAACACCAGUGGCGAAGGCGGCUGUCUGGUCUGUAACUGACGCUGAGGCUCGAAAGUAUGGGUAGCAAACAGGAUUAGAUACCCUGGUAGUCCAUACCGUAAACGAUGAAUGCUAAGUGUUGGAGGGUUUCCGCCCUUCAGUGCUGCAGCUAACGCAUUAAGCAUUCCGCCUGGGGAGUACGGCCGCAAGGCUGAAACUCAAAGGAAUUGACGGGGGCCCGCACAAGCGGUGGAGCAUGUGGUUUAAUUCGAGGCUACGCGAAGAACCUUACCAGGUCUUGACAUACUAUGCAAAUCUAAGAGAUUAGACGUUCCCUUCGGGGACAUGGAUACAGGUGGUGCAUGGUUGUCGUCAGCUCGUGUCGUGAGAUGUUGGGUUAAGUCCCGCAACGAGCGCAACCCUUAUUAUCAGUUGCCAGCAUUAAGUUGGGCACUCUGGUGAGAUUGCCGGUGACAAACCGGAGGAAGGUGGGGAUGACGUCAAAUCAUCAUGCCCCUUAUGACCUGGGCUACACACGUGCUACAAUGGAUGGUACAACGAGUUGCGAACUCGCGAGAGUAAGCUAAUCUCUUAAAGCCAUUCUCAGUUCGGAUUGUAGGCUGCAACUCGCCUACAUGAAGUCGGAAUCGCUAGUAAUCGCGGAUCAGCAUGCCGCGGUGAAUACGUUCCCGGGCCUUGUACACACCGCCCGUCACACCAUGAGAGUUUGUAACACCCAAAGUCGGUGGGGUAACCUUUUAGGAACCAGCCGCCUAAGGUGGGACAGAUGAUUAGGGUG
rnacentral:rRNA from 1 species